GACGAACGCUGGCGGCGUGCUUAACACAUGCAAGUCGAACGAUGAAGCACCUUCGGGUGUGGAUUAGUGGCGAACGGGUGAGGAACACGUGAGAAAUCUGCCUUCAACUCUGGGAUAACUCCGGGAAACCGGGGCUAAUACCGGAUAUGAGCCUUGAUCGCAUGAUCGGGGCUGGAAAGUUUUUCGGUUGAAGAUGAUCUCGCGGCCUAUCAGCUUGUUGGUGAGGUAACGGCUCACCAAGGCUACGACGGGUAUCCGGCCUGAGAGGGCGACCGGACACACUGGGACUGAGACACGGCCCAGACUCCUACGGGAGGCAGCAGUGGGGAAUAUUGGGCAAUGGGCGAAAGCCUGACCCAGCGACGCCGCGUGAGGGAUGAAGGCCUUCGGGUUGUAAACCUCUUUCAGUAGGGACGAAGCGCAAGUGACGGUACCUACAGAAGAAGCACCGGCCAACUACGUGCCAGCCGCCGCAGUAA
rnacentral:rRNA from 1 species